UUGUGCAUAGAAAGUACCUAUCACCACCCAUUGAAUGAAACAGACUCAAUGUCUGCUUGGUGAUGUUGAAAGGAUGGGAGACAAUGACCCCCUUUCUGUGAGAACACCAUUAUCCAGAAGCGGGCCUGGUUCCACGGGGCUCUGGGGGAGCCUGGACUGGAAAUACUUCAGAUUUCCUGACAUGAAGGACAUCCUCGGCAGUGGGUUUUGGGAUGCAUGGAGACAGCUCUCGAACCCCUGUGUUUACACUCCAGUUCUUUGUUCUUAAGCGGGCUUUGAGAUAAUGAUUGGCAGAGAGCACCCACCUUCUUCCUGUAGAGGUGGCUGGAGGCUACAGCUGCGAGGCAAACUAGACAUAAAUUCCUGAGGAGUUUACCAGUUGCCUCCUGGAACACUAUUGGGCCAAUUGUGGCAAUCUUUCUACUUACUAUCAGAUCUGUUCACUGGGAGAAGUCCUGGGCCACAAAUAUCCAGUAGUCCCCAAGGAGUCAUCUUCAUCGGCCUCUUCAACAUGUCAUGACUUGGCAGGCACUGUAUGCAGAUGUGGAUGGGUCAUGGCCCAGUUCCUCUGGAGAUGGAAGUGCUGUAGCAGGAUUCCAAAUGCAGCCCGACAGUGACUUUCUACUCACGGCCAAUCAGAUGGCAUCAAGUGACACCCAGGAGAGGCAGAGUGAGGCACCCUGCUGCUGGGUAAGCAGGAGAUUGCUUGCCAAAGAAAGACUGUGCAACAAGAUAGGGAAUCGGCCUAGGUUAGGAGAGAGGCUUCUCUGGAUGACACCAAACUGCCAGGGAGUAGAGCAAGAAACAUGCUGUGCUUGCUCAGACCCAAAACUCUGAAAAGGUCAGAGGCAAAGGCAUCCUGUUCCUGGGGGACCUCAGAGUCUUUCACAAUUACCCACAUUACUGGGCUUCUGGGGCGCUCUGGGGUGCGAGAAGAACUUGCCACCCCAAGAAGCUCCAUUGACGUCAAGUCCUAGAAACCCAGCCAGUGCCCUGAGUCAGGUCAUUCUGUGAACAUCCUCCUCUUCCCGUUCUGUGUCUCACUGGAAUGAAAUGCAGCUUGUGCUCUCUGGGCCUUAGUCUGCUCACCUGUGAGAUGAGGCUGAACUAGAUCAUCCUGAUGAUAUGUUCCAGGGCUGAGUUUCUAUGGAAAUGAAACAACCAAAUAACAGAGACAGGAAAAAAGAAAAAGAAAAAGACCUGCUAAAAGAAAUAGUUAUGAGGAAGGAGAUAAUUGUGUAAAGAGAGAAAAGCUGCCAAGAGGGAGAAGGAAGUCUUAUUGAAGACCAGGAAGAGCAUGAAUGCCCCUGAGUUCACACACACACACAUGAAUGCACAGAGACACACAUGCAUGUGUACAUACAUAUACCCACAUACCCACAUACUGCACACAUACACCAACAUACACACACAUGAGCACAUGCGAAUGAAUGUACUUGAUGAACACAUACAUACACAUACCCACGCACACACACAUGCACACACACACUUGAGCGCAUGUGAAUGAAUGCACUUGAUGAACACAUACAUACACAUACCCACAUACCCACGCAUGCACACCACACACACACACACACACACACACACACAAGUUCUUGCUCACUAAUGCACUUGCGGUGCAUUACCUGAGGGAAGUGGAGGUGAGUGCUCAGCUCAAGACUAUCUAAAGUCAAGGAGGAAGCUGACUUAUUCAUCAUUAAAGCGCCUCCCAGAGAACACAGCCCUGACAGGGCAGGAAGCAGGAUUCCGACACCAGGGUUGCAUUUUUAAAUGACAACUUGCAGGAACUAAUUAGGGUCCUACAAGAACUACAUUAAUCUCAGUGGCAGGCAAUGUCCCCAGUGUCAUAGCUAGACACAAAACAUCACUCCCACCACCAUCUCAACACUACCACCUUGGGGACCAAGCUUUUGGCACACAAACCCUAGGCUGGGACAGCAUGGAAAUUAUUUUCAAACCAGGAGAGCCCUCAAACUGUCUCUUCCGACAAUCUCUUUGGUUUUCAGCCUUACCCCUCCCAAACACCUGGCAGUAAUCAUGGAGCGCCUUCCCUUAGAGAUCCAUUACUGUCCAUCUUGGGCUUGAAGAGACUUCCAGGUCACCCUCUCUAAUGGCUCCCACUAGAAUAUAAGAGUGUGGUCAUUGAAUUGCUCAGACCUGCAGACCCGUACCCCCAUCCUGCUUAUCCCUGUACCUGAACAUGAGGACAGCAGAAGGGGAAGUUCACUUCCCCCACUGGUUUAGAAGUCUCACUGUGGUGGAGUGGACAGUCAAUGACUGCGGAUCUAAGCGCUGGUUCCAGGAGGCGGUUAGAGAGUUGUGUCAAAGAAGGAUGCUAAGUGAGGUCCAGAGCACUUAGGCCCAAAGUGACAGCGGGUCUGCCCUGGAGGAAGGGGCCUGCCCUGCUCUGUGUUUUAUUUCUAGCAUGGACUGGACAGAAAUGAGUAGAGCUUGUGCUUUGCCCUUUUGCCCAAAUUGCUCAACUUCCUUCAGCUCUACCACAUCUGUCUAUCUAUCUGUCUGUCUGUCUAUCUAUCUAUCUUUCUAUCUAUCUAUCAUCUUUCUAUCUAU